rnacentral:rRNA from 1 species
CCUACGGGAGGCAGCAGUGGGGAAUAUUGCACAAUGGGCGAAAGCCUGAUGCAGCAACGCCGCGUGAAGGAAGAAGGUCUUCGGAUCGUAAACUUCUGUCCAUGGGGAAGUUAAUGACGGUACCCUUGGAGGAAGCCCCGGCAAACUACAUGACAGCAGCCGCGGUAAUGCGGAGGGGGCAAGCGUUAUCCGGAGUUAUGGGGCGUAAGGCGUACUUAGGUGGUUACUUAAGAGCGGGGGUUAAGGCACGGGCUCAACCAUUGUUAGCCCUGCGAAAUGGGUUACUUGAGUGCAGGAGAGGAAAGCGGAAUUCGUAGUGUAGCGGUGAAAUGCGUAGAUAUUAGGAGGAACACCAGUGGCGAAGGCGGCUUUCUGGACUGUGACUGACACUGAUGCACGAAAGUGUGGGGAGCAAACAGGAUUAGAUACCCCUGUAGUC